AAUUAAAUAUGUCGGUACAGUGCCGCGGACGGCAGUCCGCAGUUAAAAGGGAAUCGGGUGUGAAUCCCGAACGAUCCGGUCACUGUAAACAGGGAGUUCUCCCGUACUAUGCCAUUGGCAGCAUACAUCCGGCACAGACAGCGUGCGCCGCAAUGCUUCGGCGUUCCGGCUGUCACCGUCAUUUCGAUGCUGCUGAGAAGGCGCGGGGGAACGAAGAUCUGCAAGUCAGGAAACCUGCUGUAUCAGAAUUAUCGGC
rnacentral:ncRNA from 2 species